UGUUUUUCAACAUGAGCAACGGAUGUCAGC
rnacentral:piRNA from 1 species